rnacentral:misc_RNA from 1 species
AGCUCCAACAAAAAGUAACAGAAUUGAAUGAUGCCGAAGCUUUGAUUGAAGUUCUUAUCAUGAAAGAGAUGCAAUCGGCAAGAACUAAUUGAGCUACAUAUUCUCAUCCCUUUCCUUCUCGUUUCUAUUCUUCUUUUUCCUGGCUGAAAUACUAAUUGACAAUUGACCCAAUGUCUUCUCGAAAUGUUUUUUUGACUGAUUAGGCUUUUCUCGAUUAAUUCAGAAGCAAAUUCACAUGACAGGCUUGAAUUAAACUUAGUAAUGGGGCAUGUUGAAUAAUU